ACCAAUCACUUUAUCCCCAAAAUCAAUCACACUUAGCCAUACGUUCUCAAAUCUAAAAAAAGAUCCCUCCAUCUUCCUCUACAUUUCUUUUGAAUAGUAGUAAUGUAUUCUUCAACAUUAAGGAUAUGCUGGAGACCUCCAAAAAUUAUAGUGUGAGAAAUAUAUGAGAAGAAUAUUAUUGAAUUGUUGUUGUUUACAUUAUUACAUUGAGACCCUAUUUAUAGACCCUAGAAUACAAUCCUUUACCAAGUAGGAUACUAUUUAGUAUUCCUAUUUCUAUUUCUAUUCCUAUUCCUGUUCUAAUAGGAUUGUAUAAAUUUAUUCCUAUUUUAAUAGGAUUGUAUAAACCUAUUCCUUUUCUAAUAGGAUUGUAUAAACCUAUUCCUUUUCUAAUAGGAUUGUAUAAACCUAUUCCUUUUCUAAUAGGAUUGUAUAAACCUAUUCCUUUUCUAAUAGGAUUGUAUAAACCUAUUCCUUUUCUAAUAGGAUUGUAUAAACCUAUUCCUUUUCUAAUAGGAUUGUAUAAACCUAUUCCUUUUCUAAUAGGAUUGUAUAAACCUAUUCCUUUUCUAAUAGGAUUGUAUAAACCUAUUCCUUUUCUAAUAGGAUUGUAUAAACCUAUUCCUUUUCUAAUAGGAUUGUAUAAACCUAUUCCUUUUCUAAUAGGAUUGUAUAAACCUAUUCCUUUUCUAAUAGGAUUGUAUAAACCUAUUCCUUUUCUAAUAGGAUUGUAUAAACCUAUUCCUUUUCUAAUAGGAUUGUAUAAACCUAUUCCUUUUCUAAUAGGAUUGUAUAAACCUAUUCCUUUUCUAAUAGGAUUGUAUAAACCUAUUCCUUUUCUAAUAGGAUUGUAUAAACCUAUUCCUUUUCUAAUAGGAUUGUAUAAACCUAUUCCUAUUCUAAC
rnacentral:lncRNA from 1 species